rnacentral:rRNA from 1 species
CCUACGGGUGGCAGCAGUGAGGAAUAUUGGUCAAUGGACGAGAGUCUGAACCAGCCAAGUAGCGUGAAGGAUGACUGCCCUAUGGGUUGUAAACUUCUUUUAUAUGGGAAUAAAAUGUUCCACGUGUGGGAUUUUGUAUGUACCAUAUGAAUAAGGAUCGGCUAACUCCGUGCCAGCAGCCGCGGUAAUACGGAGGAUCCGAGCGUUAUCCGGAUUUAUUGGGUUUAAAGGGAGCGUAGGUGGAUUGUUAAGUCAGUUGUGAAAGUUUGCGGCUCAACCGUAAAAUUGCAGUUGAAACUGGCAGUCUUGAGUACAGUAGAGGUGGGCGGAAUUCGUGGUGUAGCGGUGAAAUGCUUAGAUAUCACGAAGAACCCCGAUUGCGAAGGCAGUUCACUGGACUGCAACUGACACUGAGGCUCGAAAGUGUGGGUAUCAAACAGGAUUAGAUACCCUAGUAGUC